rnacentral:lncRNA from 1 species
AUUGGCAUAUUUAUCACCUCAGACAUUUGUCACUCUUUCAUGUUAGGAACAUUCAAAAGCCCCACCACCAGCAGCAGCUAUUUGGAAAUAUUCAAAGACCUGUUGCCAACCUCGGUCACCUACUGUGCUCACGAACAUUGGAAGCCACUCCUGCAACCCACUGUGCCCCCCACCUGGCAGCGGCCUUCUCUCGUCCCCUCCCACACCCUCAGCCCCUGCACACCACUACUCUAGGCUCCACCUGCCAAGAGAUCAACAUUUUAGCUUUCCAUAUAAAUGAUAGCACACAGUAUUUGUCUUUCUGCUGGCAAUAUUUUUUAAAGAUUGGUAAUAUCCUGGGGUGAUAAGGAAGCAGCAAGAACGGGCAGCUGAUGAAAACGUAAAUUGCUCCAAUCUUUCAGCAGAGCAGCUGGUCGCUUUUACUCAAAUUCACAGAUCACUUGUCAGGAUUUCUCCUAUAGGAGUCCCACACUUAGGCAAGAAGAGUCAGCUGCGAGAAUAUUUAUUACGCCAUUGGGUAAAGAAAAAAUUAAAGCAACUCAAAUGAUGAUUGAUAGGGAAUCAGAUAAAGAAAUCGUGGUAUAUCCAAAUAAGAGAAUACUAGGCAAUUAAGGAGAAGAGGAGAUUUACAUGAGCUGUGGGGAAGAGAACACUGAGAUUGAUUAUGAGUGAAAAAAGAAGUUGCACAGCUCUGUAAACAGUAAGAUUCUAUUUCUGAUUAAAU